rnacentral:rRNA from 1 species
UACGAAGGGGGCGAGCGUUGUUCGGAAUCACUGGGCGUAAAGGGCGCGUAGGCGGCCCUCCUUGUCGCGUGUGAAAGCCCCGGGCUCAACCUGGGAACGGCGCGCGAGACGGGGGGGCUGGAGUUCGGGAGAGGAGCGUGGAAUUCCCAAUGUAGAGGUGAAAUUCGUAGAUAUUGGGAAGAACACCGGUGGCGAAGGCGGCUCACUGGCUCAUAUCUGACGCUCAGGCGCGACAGCGUGGGGAUCAAACAGG